rnacentral:rRNA from 1 species
UGGGGAAUAUUGCACAAUGGGCGCAAGCCUGAUGCAGCCAUGCCGCGUGUAUGAAGAAGGCCUUCGGGUUGUAAAGUACUUUCAGCGGGGAGGAAGGGAGUAAAGUUAAUACCUUUGCUCAUUGACGUUACCCGCAGAAGAAGCACCGGCUAACUCCGUGCCAGCAGCCGCGGUAAUACGGAGGGUGCAAGCGUUAAUCGGAAUUACUGGGCGUAAAGCGCACGCAGGCGGUUUGUUAAGUCCGAUGUGAAAUCACCGGGCUCAACCUGGGAACUGCAUCUGAUACUGGCAAGCUUGAGUGUCGUAGAGGGGGGUAGAAUUCCAGGUGUAGCGGUGAAAUGCGUAGAGAUCUGAAGGAAUACCGGUGGCGAAGGCGGCCCCCUGGAAGAAGACUGACGCUCAGGUGCGAAAGCGUGGGGAGCAAACAGG